GCAUUCAGGACUCGCCCCGGCUUUGUUAUUUCAAAUUCGUUUUUGAAGUAAUACUAUGGCCAUCUAAGACUUAUUGGCAUACCAGAUACAAAAACUAUACUAGACUAGACUAUUGAUGUUGAUAAAGAAUAUAUGUACAUAUAA